GCUUUCUUAGCACAGUUGGUAGCAUGUCAGUCCUAUAAUCUGAAGGUCCUGAGUUCAAUCCUCAGAGAAGGCC